rnacentral:tRNA from 1 species
GGUGGUGUGGUUCAGUGGUAGAUUGCUUGCCUAGCAGGUGUAAGACCCUGGGUUCAAUCCUCAGCACCACAU